rnacentral:misc_RNA from 1 species
GAUGAGAUAGCAAUGUAGACGAAAACCAAGAAGCAGGGUCGGUGGUUUAGCCUUAUGGCAUGGAACACCUAUAUUCGGUGAGAUAUCUAAUUAUAUUUUUUUUCUAUUUCCUCGAGUGUCAUAAACCAAUUAAGAUAGAAAUGUCCACUCCCACAAAUUAGCUGCCAAAUGCAGCACCAUGAACCAAAAUUGGCAAGUGGGUUUUGGGUUUUGGCUUAGUCUAGCAAAAUAAUCAAAUACAAGUAGACUUUCUCAGCCAUCAAACAGAAUAAUCAAUUUUUUUUUUUAUUGCUGGGUCAUUACCUGCACAGAUUGUUGGUAAAGAAGAAAUUUUGAAGGAACAUCGCUGGAUGGUUUUGCAUCAUUAUCCAUGUCCUCUUCUUCAUUUUCUUCUUCUUCUUCUUCUUCUUC